CACGUAGGGUGCGAGCGUUGUCCGGAAUUAUUGGGCGUAAAGAGCUCGUAGGCGGUGUGUCGCGUCGGCCGUGAAAACCUGCAGCUUAACUGUGGGCUUGCGGUCGAUACGGGCAUCACUGGAGUUCGGCAGGGGAGACUGGAAUUCCUGGUGUAGCGGUGAAAUGCGCAGAUAUCAGGAGGAACACCGGUGGCGAAGGCGGUCGACUGGGCCAGAACUGACGCUGAGGCGCGACAGCGUGGGGAGCAAACAGG
rnacentral:rRNA from 1 species